UACAGAGGUCCCAAGCGUUGUUCGGAUUCACUGGGCGUAAAGGGCGCGCAGGCGGCUGCUCAAGUCAGGCGUGAAAGGCCUGGGCUCAACCCGGGAAUUGCGCUUGAGACUGGGCUGGCUUGAGUGCGGGAGAGGAUGGUGGAGUUCCCAGUGUAGAGGUGAAAUUCGUAGAUAUUGGGAAGAACACCGGUGGCGAAGGCGGCCAUCUGGACCGCAACUGACGCUGAGGCGCGAAAGCGUGGGGAGCAAACAGG
rnacentral:rRNA from 1 species